UCCUGACCGUGCGAAGGUAGCGUAAUCACUUGUCUUUUAAAUGAAGACCUGUAUGAAUGGCAUAACGAGGGUUUAACUGUCUCCUUCCCCCAGUCAAUGAAAUUGAUCUGCCCGUGCAGAAGCGGACAUAAAAACAUAAGACGAGAAGACCCUAUGGAGCUUUAGGCCAAGGACCAAUCAUGUUAAGAGACUACAAAACCAAAAAGAACAAAAAAGUCAACAAACCAAAUGCAACCUCGUCCAAGUGCCUUCGGUUGGGGCGACCACGGGGAAAAAAGAAACCCCCACAUGGAAUGGAAAUUAUUUCCUUAAACCAAGAAAAACAAUUCUAAGCAACAGAACAUCUGACCAGUAUAUGACCCAGGAAAACACAUCCUGAUCAAUGAACCAAGUUACCCUAGGGAUAACAGCGCAAUCCUUUCCCAGAGCCCAUAUCGACGAAAGGGUUUACGACCUCGAUGUUGGAUCAGGACAUCCUAAUGGUGCAGCCGCUA
rnacentral:rRNA from 1 species